rnacentral:rRNA from 1 species
CAAUAGCGUAUAUUUAAGUUGCUGCAGUUAAAAAGCUCGUAGUUGGAUUUCGGGUGGGAAUGGCCGGUCCGCCGUUUCGGUGUGCACUUGCUACGCCCACCUUGCUGCCGGGGACGUGCUCUUGAGUUCACGCUCGGGACACGGAGUCGGCGAGGUUACUUUGAGUAAAUUAGAGUGUUCAAAGCAGGCCUACGCUCUGAAUACAUUAGCAUGGAAUAACACGAUAGGACUCUGGCCUAUCUUGUUGGUCUGUAGGACCGGAGUAAUGAUUAAGAGGGACAGUCGGGGGCAUUCGUAUUUCAUUGUCAGAGGUGAAAUUCUUGGAUUUAUGAAAUACGAACUACUGCGAAAGCAUUUGCCAAGGAUGUUUUCAUUAA